rnacentral:rRNA from 1 species
AUGAACGCUGGCGGCGUGCCUAAUACAUGCAAGUCGCGCGAACGGACGAGAAGCUUGCUUCUCUGAUGUUAGCGGCGGACGGGUGAGUAACACGUGGAUAACCUACCUAUAAGACUGGGAUAACUUCGGGAAACCGGAGCUAAUACCGGAUAAUAUUUUGAACCGCAUGGUUCAAAAGUGAAAGACGGUCUUGCUGUCACUUAUAGAUGGAUCCGCGCUGCAUUAGCUAGUUGGUAAGGUAACGGCUUACCAAGGCAACGAUGCAUAGCCGACCUGAGAGGGUGAUCGGCCACACUGGAACUGAGACAAGGUCCAGACUCCUACGGGAAGCAGCAGUAGGGAAUCUUCCGGAAUGGGCGAAAGCCUGACGGAGCAACGCCGCGUGAGUGAUGAAGGUCUUCGGAUCGUAAAACUCUGUUAUUAGGGAAGAACAUAUGUGUAAGUAACUGUGCACAUCUUGACGGUACCUAAUCAGAAAGCCACGGCUAAAUACGUG